UACGGAGGGUGCAAGCGUUAUCCGGAUUCACUGGGUUUAAAGGGUGCGUAGGUGGGUAUGUAAGUCAGUGGUGAAAUCCCCGAGCUUAACUUGGGAACUGCCGUUGAUACUAUAUAUCUUGAAUGUCGUAGAGGUAAGCGGAAUAUGUCAUGUAGCGGUGAAAUGCUUAGAGAUGACAUAGAACACCAAUUGCGAAGGCAGCUUGCUAUGCGAUUAUUGACACUGAGGCACGAAAGCGUGGGUAGCAAACAGG
rnacentral:rRNA from 2 species